AACGAACGCUGGCGGCGUGCCUAACACAUGCAAGUCGAACGGAAUAAGGGGCUUGCUCCUUAUUUAGUGGCGCACGGGUGAGUAACGCGUAGAUAAUCUGCCUGACGAUCUGGGAUAACACUUCGAAAGAGGUGCUAAUACCGGAUAAGCCCACGUGGUCUUUGGAUCGUGCGGGAAAAGGGGGGGACCUUUCGGCCUUCUGUCGUCAGAUGAGUCUGCGUACCAUUAGCUAGUUGGUAGGGUAAAGGCCUACCAAGGCGACGAUGGUUAGCUGGUCUGAGAGGAUGAUCAGUCACACUGGAACUGAGACACGGUCCAGACUCCUACGGGAGGCAGCAGUGGGGAAUUUUGCGCAAUGGGCGAAAGCCUGACGCAGCAACGCCGCGUGAGUGAUGAAGGCUUUCGGGUCGUAAAGCUCUGUCGAGGGGAAAGAAGUGUAUUGUGGUUAAUACCCAUGAUACUUGACGGUACCCCUAAAGGAAGCACCGGCUAACUCCGUGCCAGCAGCCGCGGUAAAAC
rnacentral:rRNA from 1 species